CACACCGAUUCAAGGAAGACCCUUACAUUCUAGGUCUCCAGGCUCAACAGGUUUUCUAUGUGAGAGAUGUGAAGAACCCUGAUUGGGCAAGUGUUAUUAAAAUGAAUCCACGCAAUUUGUUUGCUCCUUCUGUUUUAAAUGGUGUUGGCCUUGAUGAAGCUGCUGAAGCCGAUGAAGGCGGUGACGCAGACGUACUGGAUGUCGUCGAUGCGGAAAUAGUCCCAGAAAUUACUGUACCUGAAGAGAUCACUAGUUGGUGCAGAAACGAUGAUGAAGGAUCCAGCGUUGAUGCUUCUGUCAUCAAAAGUAUAAAACCUGUUGAGUUUGAAGAUGUUCACUCCGAAUCUGAUGAUGAUAUCGAUGAUGAUGAUGCUUACAUAAAUGAUGGCCAUGUUGCUCCUUUGGGACAAGAAGAAUUGGAUGAUGACAACGGGUUCUUUGUGUAGUUUCAAAUAUCUUGGUUGAAACAAGGCGCACGUGCUUACUCAUUUGUUGUCGCAAAAGGGAACAUAAGCUAGCGGAACCGUCGUGUCUGGUGGCUCACCUAUUAGACUCUUGAAUUUCAAUUAUUUAGUCAUUUAACAGAUUCAGAGCAGUUCAUAUAUGUAGUUACUGUGGAUUCAUAGCUGGAUCAGCCUACUUGUUCACACGUUACAGAAAAGCUUUUAUACAAAUUCAGUCACAUUUUGCAUUUGCUGUACGCUUCCCUAA